rnacentral:misc_RNA from 1 species
AGUCAUAAAACGCGCGUCAGACCAUUCAGUUAAAUUAGAAAUUUAUGAGAGUUUAAUAGUUUUUUGUGCUGUGUCUGUUUAAAUAUAUUUUUGUGUGUGGGUGAAUCAAUGUUUGUAAUUUGAAUUGCAAUGCAAUAUGUGAAAGAUGAAUAAAAAGUAAACAAAAUCGGAAAUUGUAAACAAAUGUGCUAAAGCCAAAGUUUCUAGCUGUAAUUGAAAUAAAUUACGGUUAGCUCUGUGUUAGUUGCAAUAAGUAUUAAGAAUAUUUACGAUCGCAAAAUUUUGUGCUGAAUAUAAUUCUUUACGUCUCCGUAUAUAUUCGAAUAAUAUUUUGCAGUUAUUUUGGAAAUUGCGAAAAACGCAAAUUCUAUUAUUGUGCUGAGCAAAGCAAUUGUGUUUUGUGUAUAACAACGGAAAAGCCGCCUUAUGCUUGUGUGUGUGUGAUAUACAUAACUAUGUAGUGCAGCUAGUGGGCGGCUUGCUUUUUCCAGGCUGGUACAUUGUCCUUCAACAAUUUCGCGAAAUGUAAAGCCAUAUGUACAUACAUUGCAUAGUGUAGAUAUCAAUAAAUAAUUGUGAAAAGAGUUUACUAAACUUCAAAUAAGCGUGUAUUUUAAAGUGAUGGGAUUGCCGGUGUCGGUCCCACAGGAAUACCAGUGCGAUUACUCAUCGCGUUCGAUAAAACAACAAAAAAGUGACCGGGUGUCAUACUCACGCUAGACCCCUUUCGAUUGCCACAAAAUAUCUAUACAAACACACGUGCUCCGAUAUUCAUAUUUACGCAUACAUACAUAUGUGUAAAAUAAAUGUCUAAAGGAAGUAGCGGUGCUAUAUAAAAAUAUAUUUGUAUUCGCAAAGUUAAUGCUACUGAAAUAAAAAUAAAAGUAAAAAGAUACGUCAUACUCUACGUUGUAUUCGUAUCCCUGCAUUUGACAACGCAAAAACAACAUACGAAAAGUCACCAACUCGUUGGAGGCCGUGCUGACAUUCGGCGCAUAUUCGUACAUAUCUGCAUAAACAACCGUGUGUUUGCCAUCAUCUGUGUUCUUCCUUUCAACUUGUAUUCCAUCUGCCAAGAACUUGAGUUUUUUCCAUGUAUUUUCAUUUUGUUUAUGUGUAACUUGUUUUUAUAAGAAUUUAUAAACUGGUAUAAAUUCUUGUUGGAUUGUGUUCUUUUACGAGUUAUUUCAAACUUGGCCUUCGCUUUUGAUUUGUGGCCAAGAUGAGCGAACGCAAAUUCUCACGCGUCCUAAACAGCAACAAAGCCGGUAUGGCAGCACAGCUACGCGACUCCGUCUCGCAGGUGGUGCGGCAGAGCACAGCGCUGAACAAAUCUCACGUGGUGGAGCCUAUCGAUUUUGAGGGCUUUGUGGCGAAAAACAAAAUGCUAAUACAAAAUGAUCCACAACGAGAACUCUUGAUAUAUCCCAAUGACGAUGUGUCGGAAAUCGUCAUGCCUCGCAAACAGCGCACAAAUACCAAAUCAAUUAUCGAUCGUUUCGAACCGCCGAACGAAGCUAUCAUUUGCCCAUUACACGGUGGUACAAAUGGAAGCUCUAACGGCUCAACUAAUACUUCCAUUUCACGCCAGAGUAGUCAUACAAAUAGUCCCAAGACAACACAACGCCAAAUUAGCAGUCAAUCCAAUGCAAAUGUACAAAACGGUAAUCUCUCGAGAAAAAGCUCGCAGAGUUCAUCUACAAAAAUACAGCUAUCCAUCAAAUCACCAACUUCCUCACACGAAUCCUAUGAGUCUGCGCUUUCGACUGCAUGCUCGGCUGGUGGCAAUCUGACUUCCAACUCGCAUUCAUCCUCAUCGUCAACAUUGAAAUCGAAUAUACUCGCACAACCCGAAGAAGAUGAGGAUUUAGACGGUUCGGAUGGUGCGGAUGGCAUGAGUAGCAAUGGAAGUGGUGGCGGUACACGCGCCGAAUGUACGCGCUUCACACGUCAAGCAUUGUAUACAUAUCGUGCCAAGAAUCAUCUCAUACAUUACAAGUACAGCGCUUACGGUGGCACGUGCCAUGACUUGCCAAAAAUAAAUCCUCCUGAGGCUUUGAUAGAGGAAGUGUAUGAGAUUGAUGCCGAUCAGGAUCGUAUUGACGAGCAAAUGACACGAUCUCAAGCUGAUUCGAUAACCAAGCAGGGUUACUUGUUGAAGGGCCCCGACUCGGGUUCGGAUCGUAUGUUUGUCAACAUCGGCAAUAAAUCCUUUAAGAGGAGGUAUUGUUAUCUGCGCCAGGAAGUGGACGGCACCUACAUACUCGAAUUACACAAAGAUGAGAAGCAAGGUGAGGCUAAAGCAACAAUAGUCAUGGACUUUUGCACGGAAGUGGUGCAGAAUCCCAAACGCGGACGCUUUUGCUUCGAAUUACGCAUGACCGCUGGUCAUAAGUCCUUUACUCUCGCUGCCGAAAACGAAGAAGAAUUCAAGGAUUGGCUAAGCAAGCUCUCGCUGGUGUUGCAACAAAACAAGAUUCAAGAGGAUAAACGCGUUGCAUCAUUGGAGCGCACGCCGCAACCAAGCACCAGCACAGUCAUCUUCGGCACAUUAAAAGGCCUCGAUCAGUCCAUGAACCCGCAAUUGAUUAAGUACGGACGUGAAACGGACAUUUCAAUUGCCCAGGCGCGACGCGAACAGCGCCGACGUCUCUUUGCUUGCUACCAAACGACGGGUAAAGCAACAAGCACCGACAGCGUCGAUCAGUUUCGUGAGCAAUUCGGCAAACGCAUAUUUAUUGCCUGUAAAGGCUUGCGUUUUCGCCUGCAGUGCGCUGGCACAGACGGACUCGAUGGCGAGAACUUAUGCCAGGUGGAACCAUACAUCACCAGCUUGGCAUUGUAUGAUGCACGUAACGGACGUAAAUUAACCGAAUCAUUUUAUUUUGAUGUAAACGAUGACAGUGUUAGCGAUAUGCUGCCCACGACGCCAGUGCCAAAUUCCGUGUCGGCUUGUUGUGUGCCACAGCGACGCGGCGAUGAGAAGGAUGAGCGGGCGCGCAGCAAUGGCGUACGCGUACAGAACUCGUUGCUGGAGAAUCUCUCCGGAGAUUUGCUGCGUUGCGGCAAAGAACACUUCGUGCACUUGCGUCAGGCGGUAUUCUCAGUGACAGCGCCACAUCCAGAUAUCUACUUGGUGUUGAAGGUGGAGAAAAUACUGCAAGGUAGCAUAGUGCAAGCGGCCGAGCCGUACUUGAAGACUGGACGCGAUCCGAAAAUCGCAUUAAAAUUACACAAAACAGCGCGGAAUUACGCGCAAAACAUAGGACACUAUCGGCAGCCAUUCGCAUGGGCGGCCAAACCGCUCUUUCGUCUUUACCGCAACGAAUUGGAUACGGAGAAUAAUACAUUCGAAUUGACGACCAUCUACCGACAGGAGGCGAACAAGUUGAAAGAUGAGGAGCUAUUGAAAUUGCUGGCGGAAUAUCGAAAGCCUGAUAAACUGAGCAAACUCACAGUUAUACCAGGCUAUAUGAAGCUAACCAUUGAGGAGGUGGAGAAGGUGUCAGGUUCCUUUACUAAGUCUUUAGUGCCGCUAGCUAACUUCACAUUUCCACCCAAACCACCCACGCUCGAGCUGACUGAAUUCCAAAGCAAUUGCAAGCGCGACACCUAUCCCUACAUAACAUUCUGCAAUCACUUAUUUGUCUAUCCGCAGUAUUUGCAAUUCGAUAGUCAAAAGUUAUUUUCGCGCGCACGCAACAUUACCGUGGUGGUGGAGUUGCGCGACUCGGAUGAGGAGGGUAGCAAGCCAUUGAAGUGCAUUUACGGUCGCCCUGGUCAUGAUUUCCUAGUCUCGCAAAUUGCUUGCCCCGUGCUGCAUCACCACACCACACCCACUUGGUAUGAGGAGGUGAAAAUGCGUCUGCCAUUGGGGCUCUUCCCCGAACAUCACUUGCUCUUCUCCUUCUACCAUGUGUCGUGUAAUUUGGGCAAGAAGCGUGAUGCCAAUGCUGCGUUCGAAACACCCAUCGGUUAUGCUUGGUUGCCGUUGUUGCAGAAGGGUCGCAUUAAUCUGGAAGAGCAAGCUAUCGCUGUGGCGGCGUCUCUACCGGCAGGCUAUUUGUCGAUACAGCCACUGGGCCUGGGCAAAGGGCAGAAUUGCGGUCCCGAGAUACAAUGGAUCGACAAUCAGCGCUUACUCUUCGGCGUCGCCUUCCGCAUGGACUCAACCGUACUGACCGCCGAUCAGCAUUUGCAUAACUUUUUCGCACACUGCGAAAGACUAUUGGAGGGCGGCAAAACCACAGCGCUACCCGCAGAAUCGGAGACCUGUAAAAUACUCAAAGCGGCGCAUGCGGUUGAUAUCAGCACGCUGAUUAAUUUUUUGCCGACCGUAUUGAAUGAACUUUUCACACUACUCGUGCACAAACAGUCAGAGGAGAUCGGGUUGAAUAUCAUACGCCUACUGAUCAACAUCAUACACAUGCUGAUCGAUGAGGCCGGUCGCAAAGAACUACUCAGCGCCUAUGUUAAGUAUGUCUUUCAUGCGCCCUACUACAGUCAGAAGACGUCGCGUACGGUGCACGGUGAGCUGUGCAAAUAUCUGCCGACCAUUUUGCAUCCGCACAAUACUGAUUUUUUGAUCGUCAAUAAGUUCAUGCAUUAUUCGGGUAUAUUCUUCGAUUUGAUUAUUAAAAGUAUGGCACAACACCUAUUGGAUACCGGGCGUAUACGUAUGCUGCGGAAUGAACGAUUUCCCAAAGAAUUUCCAGCGCGUGUUGAGAGUUUGAUCAAGGUGCUGACUUCAUAUCUGAUCUCGCGCUACAAAGAUCUGCCUGUAGAGACGCAACAGUUGAAUCGUUCGUUGUCACAAUUCGUGCGUCGCUGCCUCAGUUACAUGGAUCGUGGUUUCGUCUUCAAAUUAAUCAAAUAUUAUAUGGAACAAUUUGAGCCGGGCGAUCAGCGUACGCUGCAAGAGUUUAAGUUUGACUUUCUGGCUGAGAUUUGUCAGCACGAGCAUUAUGUGCCGCUAAAUUUGCCAUUCGUGUUGAAUCCGAAGAAUCGUCCACCGGAAAUGAUGCUGCACUUUACACUUUCUGACGAGUUCUGUCGCCAACACUUUCUUGCCGGUUUACUGUUGCAACAGUUGAAACAAAGUCUGAACGAAGCGAGCGCGGUGCGACGGCAUGCGCUGCGCAUCUUCAAAAAUCUGCUCGCCAAGCAUGAACUCGACGAUCGCUAUCAGAAUCGUGGACAACUUUCACGCAUAGCGCUGAUCUAUGUGCCCUGGUUGGGUAUUGUCAUAGAAAACACACAUCGCAUCGAUGAUAUGUCUGGCGUAGUAACGCCAAAUGGUCACGUUUACGCCGAUUCGGCUUCGUAUACACAGCGUUUGUCAUGUUCCAGCAGUUAUGUAUUUGGAAAAGACACAGCCUUGAAUUCGUCAACGUCUACGCCGCGUUCAAAAAAUCGCAUAACACUGCAUAUUGAACAUCCGAGCCCACUGCGGGCUUCCGUGUAUGUGAGAGAUGCGGGGCACCCAGGCACAGCGCCGCUCGCAAAUGGUAACUCGGAGAGUUCGCUGAAUACGCUCAAUUCCGAUUCGCAAAAUUCACAAGACACACCCACCUUAGGCGCCGUCACAAAUGGACACCAUGUUACCGAUUUGACGGACGUUGCCAUGCGUAAUGGUCACAACCGCUCGCUUAAUCUUAUGCACGGUUUAAAUAGUUUACCGCGUUGCGAUAAAUUCAAUACGGCGGAGAGUAAAGAUCUCUUGCUUGGUUUUCUGUUUGUGGUCAAGCAUUUAGCGCAAGAUCAAAUGAUCGGCUGGUGGCAGAAUUGUACCGAAACUGAAACGCUGGCCUAUCUCAGCAUAUUGGAUUUGUGUCUGGUGCAAUUCCGCUACGUGGGCAAAAAGCAUAUCAAUUUAACGGAUGAUGGUAAGGAGGCGCGUGCGGCGCGCACCGCAAAGGCUAGUACAUUACCUGCGCGCAUGCAGCCUCCCAGCGCGGAGCAAGCCGCUAAUGGUAAUGGCACAGCUCACGAAUCCGGUACACUUAAUCAUACGCAGAAUCGUGAAAAUCUGGUUGAAGAGACAGCGCGCAGUCAACAGGCGCUUUACGAGUCUAACUUGGCCACUGAAAUUGGCAUGAUCAUACUCGAUAGUCUCGGCUUGUAUGCCGUGCAUUUUCGUGACAAAUUGUGUGACAGUCUAGUGUUGCCACAGCUGGCGCGCGUCUAUCUGCGUUUCCUGCAGCUGGGGCAGUCGGAAAGAUUGUCGAAACAUGUGUUUGCCGCACUGCGCGCUUUCAUUAACAAUUUCUCAAUAGCGCUUUUCAAAGGCAAUGCCACGUUAUGCGGUCAAAUGGUCUAUGAGCUCUUAAAGGGUUGCGACAGUCGUCUAGUCGCAAUACGCCACGAGUCAUGCGCAGUGCUCUACCUGCUGAUGCGCAGCAACUUUGAAUAUACCGGCCGCAAAGGACUCACACGGGUGCAUCUGCAAGUGAUCAUCUCCGUUUCACAGAUGAUAGGCAAUGUGAUCGGUUUGAAUAACGCGCGCUUCCAAGAGAGUCUCUCCAUGAUUAACAGUUACGCGAAUAGCGAUAAAGCAAUGAAGGGCACCGGUUUCCCAAUGGAGGUUAAAGAUCUAACGCGUCGCGUGCGCACCGUGCUGAUGGCCACCGCACAAAUGCAAGCCCAUCACAUGGAUCCUGAACGCUUGCUCGAGUUACAGUAUUCACUAGCAAACUCUUAUGCUUCCACACCCGAACUGCGCCACACCUGGCUUAUAACGAUGGCGCGCAAUCACGAGCAGAAUGCUAACAUAUCGGAGGCGGCUUGCUGUCACCUACACAUCGCUGCGCUCAUGUCAGAGUAUUUACGCUUACGCGGUGGCUGCAACAUCAACUGGGGCGCCUCAUCCUUCAAGCAGAUAUCACGAAAUAUACCGCGAGACGAGCAAGGUUUGAAAUUGGAUGCAGGCGCUCAGGAUUCGCAAUACACCGAACAGAUGUUGUUGGACCAGCUGAAGCAGUGCGCUGAUUUUCUCGAUCGUGCUGAACGCUUCGAAUGCUUGGGUGAUCUAUAUAAACUCAUAUUACCGAUGUAUGAGCGUAAUCGUUCGUAUAUCGAGUUGGCGCAAUCGUAUGAGCAUCUCAUGCAAGCUUAUAAUAAAAUCGUCGAAGUGAAUCGUUCCGGCAAACGCAUGUUGGGUCGUUUCUAUCGUGUCGUGUUUUUCGGCAUGAUGUACUUUGAAGAUGAUCAUGCAGUUGAGUUUGUUUACAAGGAACCGAAACUAACCUCACUUAGCGAGAUUUCAGAGCGGCUCUCGAAACAAUACAAAGAGAAAUUCGGCGAGGAUGUGGUCAAGAUGAUAAUGGAUUCAUCGCCGGUGGAUGCUAAUGCGCUCGAUGCCAAAUUGGCCUACAUCCAAGUCACCCACGUCAUACCAUUCUUCAGCAAAGAAGAGCUCGAUCAGCGCCUAAACGAAUUCGAACAAAAUCACGAUGUCGACACUUUUAUGUACGAAACACCAUUCACGAAAUCCGGUGCAGCGCGUGGCAGCGUCGAAGAGCAAUGGAAACGCAAAACAGUCAUCAAAACUACCUACUCCUUCCCCUAUGUGCUGAAACGUAUACCGGUAAAGUCACGCGAAAUCAUCGAGCUGAGCCCCAUAGAGGUGGCGAUCGAUGAAAUGCAAACGAAGGUUUCAGAACUCGAAGAGGUCAUACUGCCGCCAGCCGAUGUUAAGAAGCUGCAGUUGCGGCUGCAAGGCAGCGUCGCCGUCACCGUCAAUGCCGGUCCACUCGCCUAUGCACAAGCUUUUUUGGAUCCCAAAAUAGUGAGCAAUUUCUCCAUAGAUCGCGUCGAAGAUUUGAAGGACAUUUUCAGAGACUUCGUUAAGGUCUGCAAUACGGCGCUGCAGUUGAACGCGCGCAUGAUCAGCAACGAUCAAGCCGAGUAUCACAAUGCGCUGGCCGAAAAUUAUCGCAAACUGUGUCAGGCGCUCAGCGAGCUACUCGGUGAGCCGUUUCAACCUUUGGAUGAUAGCGUCACGAGCGGGCAACACAAUAGCAUGGCUUUGUUUAAUGCAAUCAGUGGCGCUUCGCAAAACUCAAGUACUGCCUAAAAUUUGCUAAAUACAAAUUAAAAACAAAAACUACGCACACAAAUGCACACACCUUCACAUACAUACACACAUAUAUUCACAAUACGAAUGUUGUGUAUUAGUAAAUUUUAGUUAAAAAAAUCUAUAGCAAAGCUAACUUGACUAGAAUUUCGAUAUUUUAAGCAACUAACCUAACUAAAAUUAAUCAAAAAUUAAAAAAAAAAACUAAAAAAUAAUAAUAACCAUUAGUAAUAAAUAAAAAGCUGUGUGUGUGCUCUCUAUAUGAGUUCUGCGGCUUUAUAACACUCAUUCAGGUGUUUGGUGCACGUUAUAAACGUAUGUAUGUAUGCUACAAACAGCUGAUUGAUCGCUUGAUUUAUGGCAACCAAGUUUAGACUUUAUCACGCCAAUGCAAUGGUUUUUCUCUGUGCUUUGGGACCGUCGGCUAAUGCUUUUGGUUUUGCAGUGUAUUAAUUUAUAAUAAAAGCCACACAGUCACAAGUAAUGCAAUAAUAAGCAACAAACACCCAUACAAUUACACCAACACAAUUAGGAGUAAAAAAAUAAUGCGACUUAAUGAAUUUACAACAGCAAUAACAUAAUUGACACGCAUAUGUAGAACAUAAGUAAACUGCAUAUGUAAGCCAAACACAA